CCUACGGGGGGCUGCAGUGGGGAAUAUUGGACAAUGGGGGGAACCCUGAUCCAGCCAUGCCGCGUGUGUGAAGAAGGCCCUCGGGUUGUAAAGCACUUUCAGUGAGGAAGAACGCCUGGUGGUUAAUACCCAUCAGGAAAGACAUCACUCACAGAAGAAGCACCGGCUAACUCCGUGCCAGCAGCCGCGGUAAUACGGAGGGUGCGAGCGUUAAUCGGAAUUACUGGGCAUAAAGCGCGCGUAGGUGGCUUGAUAAGCCGGUUGUGAAAGCCCCGGGCUCAACCUGGGAACGGCAUCCGGAACUGUCAAGCUAGAGUGCAGGAGAGGAAGGUAGAAUUCCCGGUGUAGCGGUGAAAUGCGUAGAGAUCGGGAGGAAUACCAGUGGCGAAGGCGGCCUUCUGGACUGCAACUGACACUGAGGUGCGAAAGCGUGGGUAGCAAACAGGAUUAGAUACCCCGGUAGUC
rnacentral:rRNA from 1 species